rnacentral:rRNA from 1 species
AGAGCGAACGCUGGCGGCAGGCCUAACACAUGCAAGUCGAGCGCCCGUAGCAAUACGGGAGCGGCAGACGGGAUAAUAACACGUGGGAACGCGCCCUUCGGUUCGGAAUAACUCAGGGAAACUUGAGCUAAUACCGGAUACGCCCUUACGGGGAAAGAUUUAUUGCCGAAGGAACGGCCCGCGUCCGAUUAGCUAGUUGGUGAGGUAAUGGCUCACCAAGGCUACGAUCGGUAGCUGGUCUGAGAGGAUGACCAGCAUCACUGGGACUGAGACACGGCCCAGACUCCUACGGGAGGCAGCAGUGGGGAAUAUUGGACAAUGGGCGCAAGCCUGAUCCAGCCAUGCCGCGUGGAUGAUGAAGGCCUUAGGGUUGUAAAGUCCUUUUAACGGGGAAGAUAAUGACGGUACCCGUAGAAUAAGCCCUGCUAACUUCGUGCCAGCAGCCGC